ACGAACGCUGGCGGCGUGCCUAAUACAUGCAAGUCGAGCGGAAUGAUGAAGAAGCUUGCUUCUUCUGAUUUUAGCGGCGGACGGGUGAGUAACACGUGGGCAACCUACCUUGUAGAUUGGGAUAACUCCGGGAAACCGGGGCUAAUACCGAAUAAUCCAUUUUGCUUCAUGGCGAGAUGUUAAAAGGCGGCUUCGGCUGUCACUACAAGAUGGGCCCGCGGCGCAUUAGCUAGUUGGUAGGGUAAUGGCCUACCAAGGCGACGAUGCGUAGCCGACCUGAGAGGGUGAUCGGCCACACUGGGACUGAGACACGGCCCAGACUCCUACGGGAGGCAGCAGUAGGGAAUCUUCCACAAUGGACGAAAGUCUGAUGGAGCAACGCCGCGUGAGUGAAGAAGGUUUUCGGAUCGUAAAACUCUGUUGUAAGGGAAGAACACGUACGAGAGUAACUGCUCGUACCUUGACGGUACCUUAUUAGAAAGCCACGGCUAACUACGUG
rnacentral:rRNA from 1 species